rnacentral:rRNA from 1 species
AACGAACGCUGGCGGCAUGCCUAACACAUGCAAGUCGAACGAGACCUUCGGGUCUAGUGGCGCACGGGUGCGUAACGCGUGGGAACCUGCCUUUAGGUUCGGAAUAACUCAGAGAAAUUUGAGCUAAUACCGGAUGAUGUCUUCGGACCAAAGAUUUAUCGCCUUUAGAUGGGCCCGCGUUGGAUUAGCUAGUUGGUGGGGUAAAGGCCUACCAAGGCGACGAUCCAUAGCUGGUCUGAGAGGAUGAUCAGCCACACUGGGGCUGAGACACGGCCCAGACUCCUACGGGAGGCAGCAGUGGGGAAUAUUGGACAAUGGGCGAAAGCCUGAUCCAGCAAUGCCGCGUGAGUGAUGAAGGCCUUAGGGUUGUAAAGCUCUUUUACCCGAGAUGAUAAUGACAGUAUCGGGAGAAUAAGCUCCGGCUAACUCCGUG